rnacentral:rRNA from 1 species
UAUCUCUGUAGAGUCUGCAUAUCAAUAAGCGGAGGAAAAGAAACUAACAAGGAUUCCCCUAGUAACGGCGAGUGAAGCGGGAAGAGCUCAAAUUUGAAAUCUUCAAGGUUUGACCUUGACGAAUUGUAGUUUAAAGAAGUGUUUUCGGUUAGAGGAGUAGUAAAAGUUCUUUGGAAUAGGACAUCAUAGAGGGUGAGAAUCCCGUAUUUGACUAUUCUUUCUAGCUUUGUGAUACACUUUCAAAGAGUCGGAUUGUUUGGGAAUGCAGUCCAAAAUGGGUGGUAAAUUUCAUCUAAAGCUAAAUAUUGGCGAGAGACCGAUAGCGAACAAGUACCGUGAGGGAAAGAUGAAAAGAACUUUGAAAAGAGAGUUAAACAGUACGUGAAAUUGUCAAAAGGGAAGCGUUUGACACCAGUGUUGUUUUUCCGAAAAUCAAUUAAAAAUUGAUUCAUGCCAGGUUGUAUUGACCUUAUCAGCUUGCAAUUUGGUUUUGGGUCUCUUUUUGAUGCACUUUUCGGUUAACAAGUCAACAUCAAUUUCCUUUGCUGUAAAAAGGUAAGAGGAAGGUGGCUUCAAUUUCGGUUGAAGUGUUUAUAGCCUUUUAUCUCUGCAGUCGGGGAGAUUGAGGUCUGCAGCGUAGAUCCUUCGGGGCUAGAUACAUUUAUGCUAAGUUAUAGCUUUUCAUAGACAACUUGUUGACUAUGUUUAGUCAUGUAGCUUACUCGUAAGUGCUAUUUUACCUACGCUUAGGAUGUUGAGCGCAUGUCUCUCUCU